rnacentral:pre_miRNA from 1 species
GUUUACCUGUAUUUGGAUGGUAUUCAGCACCAGGGACAGGUGUGUUUGCCUGUGUGUAUAGUGUUCAGCACCAGGGACCGGUGUGUUUACCU